AGCUCGGGCAGCCCCCCACCACUAUCCUGAUCCUAAAUUCCUAUCCAUCUCCGCUCGGAGGGGAAAGCCCGCCGUUGGCGCCCCUUCCCUGCCCGGGGGGGUGGGGGGGCGCUUUGCCGACGCCGACGCCCCGAUCAGCACCGGCAGCUGCUGCUGCUAGCCCUGCUCGUGCAGCACCCACUGUCUGACCCGGCUGCAAGCGCCUCGCUCGGAUGGGUCUUGCCUCCGCUACCGCUACCACGACGGGCUCCAUUAUCAAGCCAUCAUCGUGCGACUGCUGGAGAUGAGCCGCUGCCUCGGCCGGUUGGCUCAGGGACCUGCCUCUAUCUGGAGAAUUAUCUAGAUCGUGACCAAAAAAAAGGGUAGAAGGUUCAUGGAGCUGGAAUACAAAUUCGAUUCCAAGAUUCUCGAUAUAUAGACGAGUAUCUCAUGGAACUCAAAAUGAAAGGUGCUGACAGUACAAGGUUGUCUAAGGCAUAGGACGCUUUUACCGGUGUCUCAAAUGAAUUGAAGGGGAGGUGCUGCCCAUUUUUCCCCAAAUUUGUGAGGAUUUCACCCAUCCAAGUGCACCAAAGCUAUUGCUAGUAUCAUCUUCUUCAGGGAGUUUUCAGUUCUACUC